rnacentral:other from 1 species
GUAUUCCUGAGGUGAUCGCCAAUCUGUUCUUUUUAACCCACAGAGAUAAUAUGGGAAUCCGGAGUUUGGUUAUCUAUGGCAUAUCCCCAUUGUAUGGGGAAAGGCAGAAGUAGCUAACAGGAUACCCACCUGCUGAGAAGGCGGGUAAAAAGGCAGGCUAACGACACAAUGGGAAGGAA